UUUGUAGAAUGAAUUUAGAUCCUUAUGUCUGCAGAGAGGUAAUUCCUUGGCACGGCAUGGCUUUUGAUUCCAAUUAUUUCUUUUCAUGGAUUGACAGAUAUAAUUACGUUUUAGGGGCAUGACUUUUGUUAGAUAGAGAGAUUGAAAUAAUACUGAGCAUCUAAAUUUUAAACGUUGGUUGAUAUUAUGUAACUAUAGAUGAGUUUGUUCUUGUGCUAUUGCAGAGGUAGAAGUGAUUCUAUUGCCUGUACAAUUUUGAAUCUUGUAGGACAAUAACAUUCUUGGUCCAACUUUAUCAGUGGCUGACUUGCUUGCUAAGGAGAGUAUCAAUCAGUCUAAUGUCUCUGCACUCUUUAUAGAUCUCCUGCUUUGGUGACUGAGGCAUUAUUAGAUGAUAUUGGUGUUCCAAGGCCUAGGAAAUUUAGAAUUGGCCAGGUUUUCUGAUAGAGAGAUUUUGUGGGAUUGUAGCUCUUUGAAGGAGAAUAAUGGCUUCAAGGCUGGUGUUGGCUGUCACUUUUGUGCUUGAUCUUAUUGCCUUUGCUCUUGCUGUGGCUGCUGAGCAGAGGAGGUCUACUCUUGAUGCUAGUUUAUGA
rnacentral:lncRNA from 1 species